rnacentral:tRNA from 1 species
GAUCAUAAUCUGUUAUUAACUUUUAAGAGUUCAUGUUUUCUAGCGUGCUUUGAUAGCUCAGUUGGGAGAGCGUCAGACUGAAGAUCUGAAGGCCCAGUGUUCGAUUCACUGUCAAAGCA